GCUUACGGCCACACCACCCUGAGCACGCCUGCUCUCGUCUGAUCUCGGAAGCCAAGCAGGGUCGGGCCUGGUUAGUACUUGGAUGGGAGACCGCCUGGGAAUUCCAGGUGCUGUAAGCUU
rnacentral:rRNA from 1 species